UCAAAAACCUCAAUCUCUGAUUUAUCAUUGGUUGGUCUUGCACUGGAGGCGUAAGCUUCCUCUGCGAAAUCCAAUGGCGAUGAGCCACGCAACCAAAGCGUAGUAAUUUUUACCGUGAUGGAAACGUGAGCGCAUCCGCCGUAACCCCCCCAUUCUAAGUUUUUGACCUCGGAUCAGGUAGGGAUACCCGCUGAACUUAA
rnacentral:misc_RNA from 1 species